rnacentral:rRNA from 1 species
AUUGAACGCUGGCGGCAUGCUUUACACAUGCAAGUCGAACGGUAACAGGUUAAGCUGACGAGUGGCGAACGGGUGAGUAAUGCAUCGGAACGUGCCCGAUCGUGGGGGAUAACGCAGCGAAAGCUGCGCUAAUACCGCAUACGAUCUGAGGAUGAAAGCGGGGGACCGUAAGGCCUCGCGCGAUCGGAGCGGCCGAUGUCAGAUUAGGUAGUUGGUGGGGUAAAGGCGCACCAAGCCAACGAUCUAUAGAUGGUCUGAGAGGACGACCAGCCACCCUGGGACUGAGACACGGCCCAGACUCCUACGGGAGGCAGCAGUGGGGAAUUUUGGACAAUGGGCGAAAGCCUGAUCCAGCAAUGCCGCGUGCAGGAAGAAGGCCUUCGGGUUGUAAACUGCUUUUGUACGGAGCGAAAAGGUCUCCUCUAAUACAGGGGGCUCACGACGGUACCGUAAGAAUAAGCACCGGCUAACUACGUGCCAGCCGCCGCCGUAA